CUCUGUUCACGGAAAGGGCCUGGGAGCUGCAACACCUCAACAGCAACAAGCACACCUGCUACCUAGAACUUGGUUUCUAAAAACCAUCCUCCUCUAAAAGGAAACAGAGCUCUUUGAAGAAACGGUGAGACAGUCAACAAACCUCUAACCACCGACCUUUUCUCCUCUGCCCUCCACUCACACUCUGCUCCAUCACCCUCAGCCACACAGCUGACGCUGUAGAGAUUCACUGACAUCCAGUCUGAUGGACACUGUUUCUCCAGCCGAAACUGCUCAUGAGAACAUGUGCAGUGAAGUGCUCCAGAGGCCCCAGCAUGCUACAUUACAGAAGACUGAACUCAGGAGAGAUGAGGAAUAAUCCCCUCCAUCACACCAGACACCAGGAGGGUGUGCCAAGAGGUAACUUUGCUGAACUUGUGAAGAAUGGUGUGCAAGGUCCAGAGCGACUGCAGGAGAGGGAAGGUGGGAUUCCCACAGAGCAGGAGCACAGAUAAGCCAAGCAAGGCCCUGCUUGGAAGGCAGCAAUCAACAGAGAUGCACAGACCUGUGAGGGUGCCGGGACAGCCAUGCAACAAUGCAGCCCUUUUGCUUCCUGAGCUCACCAGUUCCCUCGCUCCACCUCUGAGAGGUGGUUUGGAGAAACACAGCCCUUCUCAAGAGGGCUGCAAGCUACUUAAGUCCUGAAAAUUUCCACAAGGCUGAGUCAAAUCUGCGUUUCAUCAUCUA
ensembl:lncRNA LINC01409 long intergenic non-protein coding RNA 1409